rnacentral:lncRNA from 1 species
AAUUCCAUAUCAUCAAUCUUAUUUAAAUAGUGAUGUACCCGCACUUUGCAGCCGAUAUAAUUUAUAACCUUUAGGGUGCGUUUGGUUCGCGCUAUCUUUAUAAGAUUCCUAGUAAUUCAAUAGGAAUAAAAAAAUAUGACGGUGUUUGGCUAAACGCACUAAGUAAUCUAGUUGGUAAUAUUAGAUUUACUUGGGAAUUAAUGAAAUGUAUCCCAAAGUACUAAUCUCAUUCCUUUGAGGGAGGGUGCGUAUUCUUAUAUUAAUGGAUUGGAGUAAUUAUAAUAUGUCUAAUCUCUUACCCGCUGCUUAGUUGGUAUUAUUUUUCUUUACACUCUAACCUCAUAUCUCUCUCUAAACUUCAACUUUUUUUCUCUCUCUAAACUAAGCUAUUUCUUCCCCUCUUUUUCUAAAAUCUCAAUCCUCUCAUUCUCUCUAAUCUCGACUCUAUUUCUCUUCCUAUUUUUUUAAUUAUGCUUUCUCUUUUUAAUUUAUAUUCUCUCUCUCUUUCUAAAAAAAUGUUGAAAUUUUUUUAUACUAUUAUUUAAAAUUAAUUAAAAAAAUUAAUUAAUUAAUUAUAUAUUUUUCGUAAUCUUAAAUAAUAUUGACUAAAUAAUAUGACCGUACGAACCAAACACCGAAAUACUGUAUUCCUAGUAAUAGGAUUAAUAGGAAUAAAAUUUUCGGAUAUCAUUUUACUCCAAGUAAUCUUUCAUAGUGCGAACCAAACGCGCCCUUAGAAGUUAUUAAUAAUAUGACAAUGUACGACUAAGUGUAUUCUAGAAUAUUAUUGAUGACAUCUGAAUGUCAUUAUAACACUCUAAUCAUUAAUCACUAAAUUCCAAACAUCAUUAUUAAAUCCUAAGCAUCAUUAUUAUACCCUAAUCCUAAACCCUAAGCAC